rnacentral:lncRNA from 1 species
GUUAGUGAAUUGAAGUAUUCAAGUCUUCAACGAUAUUUCAUUUUUAAGAAGUUGUUCGUCAAUUCGGUAAACUCGUUCCAACUCUUAAGUUUUAAUAUUAUAGUUUUGUUUGUUUUAUUUAGCAUAAUUAUAAUUAAUAUGGACUUUCAUUGCAAAAAAUAUUUGGUGAUAAGGCUAAGGAAAAAUCUAAAAUUGGUGAAUCUAGUCGCCAAGCUACUACUCUUCCCUCGGCUCCCCGACCCAGACCUGUUACCCGUCCU